rnacentral:rRNA from 1 species
UACGAAGGGGGCUAGCGUUGCUCGGAAUCACUGGGCGUAAAGCGCACGUAGGCGGAUUGCUAAGUCAGGGGUGAAAUCCUGGAGCUCAACUCCAGAACUGCCUCUGAUACUGGCGAUCUCGAGUCCGGGAGAGGUGAGUGGAACUGCGAGUGUAGAGGUGAAAUUCGUAGAUAUUCGCAAGAACACCAGUGGCGAAGGCGGCUCACUGGCCCGGUACUGACGCUGAGGUGCGAAAGCGUGGGGAGCAAACAGG